rnacentral:rRNA from 1 species
AUACGGAGGGUGCAAGCGUUAUUCGGAAUCACUGGGCGUAAAGGACGCGUAGGCGGGUUGGCAAGUCAGAUGUGAAAUCCUACAGCUUAACUGUAGAACUGCAUUUGAAACUGCUAACCUAGAGUAUGGGAGGUGGAGAUGGAAUUAGUGGUGUAGGGGUAAAAUCCGUAGAUAUCACUAGGAAUACCGAAAGCGAAGGCGAUCUCCUGGAACAUAACUGACGCUAAGGCGUGAAAGCGUGGGGAGCAAACAGGAUUAGAUACCCUAGUAGUCC